UACGGAGGGUGCGAGCGUUAUCCGGAAUUACUGGGUUUAAAGGGUGCGUAGGCGGCUAAGUAAGUCAGGAGUGAAAGUUUGCGGCUCAACCGUAAAAUUGCUUUUGAUACUGCAUAGCUAGAAUUAGGAUGAGGUCAGCGGAAUGUGGCAUGUAGCGGUGAAAUGCAUAGAUAUGCCAUAGAACACCAAUUGCGAAGGCAGCUGGCUAGACCUGGAUUGACGCUGGGGCACGAAAGCGUGGGGAGCGAACAGG
rnacentral:rRNA from 1 species